rnacentral:rRNA from 1 species
CCUACGGGAGGCAGCAGUAGGGAAUCUUCCACAAUGGGCGAAAGCCUGAUGGAGCAACGCCGCGUGGGUGAAGAAGGUCUUCGGAUCGUAAAACCCUGUUGUUAGAGAAGAAAGUGCGUGAGCGUAACUGUUCACGUUUCGACGGUAUCUAACCAGAAAGCCACGGCUAACUACGUGCCAGCAGCCGCGGUAAUACGUAGGUGGCAAGCGUUAUCCGGAUUUAUUGGGCGUAAAGGGAGCGCAGGCGGUCAUUUAAGUCUGAUGUGAAAGCCUGCGGCUUAACCGGAGUAGUGCAUUGGAAACUGGGGGGCUUGAGUGCAGGAGAGGAGAGUGGAACUCCAUGUGUAGCGGUGAAAUGCGUAGAUAUAUGGAAGAACACCAGUGGCGAAGGCGGCUCUCUGGUCUGUAACUGACGUUGAGGUUCGAAGGCGUGGGUAGCAAACAGGAUUAGAUACCCGAGUAGUC